GUUGUUGUUGUUGAUGACAUUCGUCCCAAGGUGACGUGGUGUCAUGUUGCUUGUGUAUUCUAGUUUUAAGCUUUUCGAGCUUGAAACGUGUGGAUAAUCGGUGGUGACAUACAUCACUCCUUUGGUUGAUGAAGGUCGUCCAACGAUGUGGUGGUUUGUUUAUUUUGUUCUCGCAUCGUUCGGUGCAUUCUGUGGUCAUUUUGGCUAUUAGUGGCUUGCUUGGCAAUUGGGCUUUGUGGGUUGCUACUAGUUUGGGUGUCUUCGGGGAUGUCAACCGUAAAGGUGCAUGAGUGGUGUUUGGUUUGUUACGGGUGGUUGGCUCUUUGCUUGCGCAACAACUUCCACCUGGCAUACCUCUUCAGUCUUGUGUCAAUGUUUGUUUUGCAUUGAAUGCACGACGGGUUUCUUGUGUUGCAUGCCUAAUUAAUGGUAUCGUUUGAUGAAUUGGUUUCCCUUUUCGUCUUGCGUCGCCUAUGCGAUGUGAGAUGAACCUUGAAGCAGCCUUUGUGAUCCACACUUUUGAUGCAUACGCAUUGAUUUUGUGGCCCAUUAAGUGUUGCUCGGUCUCAUGGAUAUGGAACCUGGUGUGGGCAUGGAAUCGUAAUGGUUCCUUGUUUGCCCAAGUUUAGCUUUUUUAAAACGAUUUGUCUAUCA
rnacentral:misc_RNA from 2 species